UGGCUGGCUGGUGGAAACUCCUGCAGAACACAAAUAUCAUGUAAAAAAUCAGUCCAAUUUGGCAAUUUGAUUGCAGAGCAUAAAUGAGUUGUUAGUAGUUCGGAUUUGUACUCUCAGGCGACUGAUGAUGACAGGAUUGACUCCAGCGAGCAUCUCUCGAGCAAACUCUUCAUCAGUCCUCCAAGCAGACUUAUCCUCUGGAACCAUACCAUGGUAACCUCAGACUUAACAUCUCUACUGUAGAAUUAUAUGCAUUAUUGUAAGCUAUUGAUGCUGUAUCUAAAAUAUAGAAUUUCCUUUGCAUACCUUUGAUUACAUCAGGCGUAGGGAACUUGAGAAAUCUCUCACCAUCGUUGCGAACAAGUUCUUUCAGCAGUUCCCAUGGUAUGUUAUUUCUUAUCUUGCUGAUCUUGGCUUUACUUGGCAAUUUGAUGCCCCCUUCGUAGAGGUUGAAAACAUCCUCGAAAGAGUCAAACUCAUUGAUUGUCUUGUCAAAUAAAGAGUAUAUCUCCGGGACAAGUACUUGGACGAUGGACUUAAGACCAUAUGCCAGAAAGUCUGAGAACUUCACAUGUCCAAACCGUUCAUCCCUUGGCACAUAGAUAUCUAGGCUCAGAAGAGGCAAUCUGCUCUCUGAAUUGGGAUCUGUUGUGAACAUGAAAAAGAAACUGUCGUCAAAUUUCUGUUUCACUUAUUGUAUAUCAAGGUGUCCAGUACUAGAACAUAGAUGUGUCACCUUUAUUGGUUGGCUUUCGGCCUGUUCUUCCUCUUCUGGGAUAUGGAUAGUCCUUGGAUCCACCAAUAACUGGGCGUGCAUAUGCUUCCCCCUUAUCAGGACUUCCCAAAUCAUUGUAGUAAGCAUAGUCAUAAACUCUAUCCCACUCCUUGAGCUCCCCUUUCCCGUCACCUCGGAGAUUGACAAGCUCUUCUUCUCUGUACUUUCGCAAUGGCUCUGGUGUUUGACAUGGUAGGUAGGUCUGAACAGAAGCAUGACAGAAGUUGUUUAGAUAAAAAUCUGAUCUUUUUUCUUUUCUUUUAUCAGAGUUUGAUGCUUAGAGUAAGAUUAACUCCACUCAUAUUAUUCUAACUCCAUAUUAUUCUAAAGUUAGCCGAUACCCCAAAAGUAGGAUUGAGACAGCCAAUUGAAAAAUAAAAGUCGGGAAGGAAUCAUGAUGCAAUCAAUGAUAAAAAAAUAAGUUGGAAAAAUGUUGCUGAUUUGGGAGUUCAUCGUCUAGAGUUCCAUUUCCUAUUCGUAAUGCAAAGCUGGUAUGCAUGCCCUUGCCUCAGUAGGAAAAAAAUUAUUACCUUGUUUGAGAAGAAAACGCGGUGAUAUUUGUAUCUAUGCACAGGAUAAACCCAUGAGUUGCAGACGAAAUGGACGCGGCCAUGUCCAGGGACGUGUUCCAACGUGAGCGUCUUGAGGUAAAACUGACUGUGGUGAUGGUUUCUAAUAAUGAAAGCGCCAGGAACGCCCAUAGUGGUGUGUUCCCAGUCGAAGGUAAUGGCGAAAGCAGUAUCUGUAGCUGUUACAGGUGUGAUCUUCUGAGUCCAUUUCUCCAAGAAUGCUGCUUUCCCAAUCUUCCCUCCCAGCCCAUUCGCUGAACACGUAAGUAGAGAGGGCAGGAAGUUUCCCACUGUCAGCUUACAUAACAAAGAAAAAGGCAAUAGCUUUCUUUGUUUUCAUUGAAGAAAGUUCCUUUCUUUUUUCUUUUGCAGUGCAAGUCAUUUAUUGGGCAUUGAUGAAAACAGAGAGAAAGAGAGGAAAAAGAGUUGACCUGGGUCUGGAAGGGAGCUAAUGAGGUGAAGAGAGACGCCUUUGCCGAGAAGCUCGUGAAUUCGAUCAAGAAAGGAAGCCUUGGCGUCGUUCAAAUCCAAGACGUUCUUUCUCAUCAACACUAGAGUUGCGUGGAUCUUCUUGUCGGAUUCCGGUGCUGCGCCUUUGGGAGUGGUUUUGGGGAGCAGGCAGCAGCUUCCCAUCUUCUUCUUUCGUGG
rnacentral:lncRNA from 1 species